UAGUCCACGCCGUAAACGAUGAGAACUAGAUGUUGGAGGGGUUACCCUUCAGUGUCGCAGCUAACGCGUUAAGUUCUCCGCCUGGGGAGUACGUCGGCAACGAUAAAACUCAAAGGAAUUGACGGGACCCGCACAAGCGGUGGAGCAUGUGGUUUAAUUCGAUGCAACGCGAAGAACCUUACCUGCCCUUGACAUACUCGGAACUUGCCAGAGAUGGCUUGGUGCCUUCGGGAACCGAGAUACAGGUGCUGCAUGGCUGUCGUCGGCUCGUGUCGUGAGAUGUUGGGUUAAGUCCCGCAACGAGCGCAACCCUUGUCCCUAGUUACCAGCACUUCGGGUGGGAACUCUAGGGAGACCGCCGGUGAUAAACCGGAGGAAGGUGGGGACGACGUCAAGUCAUCAUGGCCCUUAUGGGGCAGGGGCUACACACGUGCUACAAUGGCGAAUACAGAGGGGCCGCAAACCUGCAAAGGCCAGCUAAUCCCUUAAAGCUCGUCGUAGUCCGGGAUCGGGAGUCUGCAAC
rnacentral:rRNA from 1 species